UACGUAGGGGGCAAGCGUUGUCCGGAUUUAUUGGGCGUAAAGAGCGUGUAGGCGGCUAGGUAGGUGGGUUGUGAAAACUGGAGGCUCAACCUUCAGACGUCGACCCAAACCCCCUGGCUAGAGUCCGGAAGAGGAGAGUGGAAUUCCUGGUGUAGCGGUGAAAUGCGCAGAUAUCAGGAAGAACACCCGUGGCGAAAGCGGCUCUCUGGAACGGUACUGACGCUGAGACGCGAAAGCGUGGGGAGCGAACAGG
rnacentral:rRNA from 1 species